AGAGCACCCGGACCCGCGGCGGCAGCGGCAGCGACGCUACCCACCCUCUUCCCCAACACCCACCUAGCCAGCGAGUCACCGAGCCACCGGCCCUCGGGCCGGCGCCUCGGUUCCUGCCCAGCUGGAUUUGGGGGGCAGCAUUGCCUGGCGCAGGGAGAUCAAAUGAGACUGCAAAGAACAUAAAAUGAAUAGACAAUCCAACCAACCAAAGGAAAUUGCUUUGGAGAUGAGGAAACAAACUCUUAUGGAUUCUCUUCAGAGGACAAGAGAAGAUGUUACAUUCUCCGCAUGAGGACAAUUCUGCAGCAUCAAAAUCGAAUAAUAUUUGUUUUCUGGCAGCAGAAUUUUGUAUCAUAUUUCUAAAGACAGUAAGCACUUGGGUGGACGUCAAUGAAUACUAAACACUAAUUGAUCUGAUACAGCCGUAUGCACAUACACAGAUAUACAUGGUGGCUUGUAAUGGUUGAAAAAUUACAGUUUGGUUUUAUUAAAAGAUCUGUCACUUUUAGGUCAGAGUGGGAUUUUGGAGGGAUAGUCUCCCACAAUAGAAAACUACCCUGA
rnacentral:lncRNA from 1 species